rnacentral:rRNA from 1 species
UACGGGGGGAGCAAGCGUUGUCCGGAAUUAUUGGGCGUAAAGAGCUCGUAGGUGGCUUGUCGCGUCUGCCGUGAAAGCCCGUGGCUUAACUACGGGUCUGCGGUGGAUACGGGCAGGCUAGAGGCUGGUAGGGGCAAGCGGAAUUCCUGGUGUAGCGGUGAAAUGCGCAGAUAUCAGGAGGAACACCGGUGGCGAAGGCGGGUCUCUGGGCCGAUACUGACGCUGAGAAGCGAAAGCGUGGGGAGCGAACAGG